rnacentral:rRNA from 1 species
CCUGAGAAACCCGAAAGAUCGAAUGGGGAGAUUCAUCGUCAGCGAUUCUGGUACGUGUGCGGUUCGCGAUGUCGGAGGCUUCGGUCUYGCGGCACGCGUCCGUAUGUUUUUUAUUGCUGGAAUCGUCGGCGUGCACUUCUCCCCUAGUAGGACGUCGCGACCCGUUGGGUGUCGGUCUACGGCACGGUAGGUAGCCUGUCACGUGUGCGCUUCACGGCGUUACGCGGGGCAGACCUCCGUUCGCCCGACCGGCUGCUCGGCGGUACUCGCAAGAUAUCUGGCCGCAGACAUACGAACUGCGUCCGGCCCGUCGCAAGCGCGGCAAGUGUUUCUCGGCUGUACGGAUCUAAUGCCGUCACCGAGCCUUGCCAGCUGUUGGUUGACGGUGUCCUAGGACUGGCUAAUAAAAUUAUGAUAUCGGUCGGCGACGCUAUUGCUUUGGGUACUUUCAGGA